ACUCCUACGGGAGGCAGCAGUGGGGAAUUUUGGACAAUGGGCGAAAGCCUGAUCCAGCAAUGCCGCGUGUGCGAAGAAGGCCUUCGGGUUGUAAAGCACUUUUGUUAGGGAAGAAAUCUUCCGGGCCAAUACCCCGGUUGGAUGACGGUACCUUUCGAAUAAGCACCGGCUAACUACGUGCCAGCAGCCGCGGUAAUACGUAGGGUGCAAGCGUUAAUCGGAAUUACUGGGCGUAAAGCGUGCGCAGGCGGCACUACAAGACAGAUGUGAAAUCCCCGGGCUCAACCUGGGAAUUGCAUUUGUGACUGUAGAGCUAGAGUGUGUCAGAGGGGGGUGGAAUUCCACGUGUAGCAGUGAAAUGCGUAGAGAUGUGGAGGAACACCGAUGGCGAAGGCAGCCCCUGGGAUAACACUGACGCUCAGAUGCGAAAGCGUGGGGAGCAAACAGGAUUAGAUACCCUGGUAGCUA
rnacentral:rRNA from 1 species